rnacentral:rRNA from 1 species
CAAUAGUCUCUUAAUUGGUGACUUGUAUGAAAGAUUGGAUGAGAUAUAUACUGUCUCUAAUUAAUUUAUAGAAUUUAAUUUUUUAGUAAAAAAGCUAAAAUAAGUUUAAAAGACGAGAAGACCCUAUAGAGUUUAAUAAUUUAUUUAAUUAUUAUUAAUAUAUAAUUUUUAAAAUUAAAAUUAAAUAGAUUAUUUUGUUGGGGUGAUAGAAAAAUUAAAUUAACUUUUUUUUGUUAUUUACAUUAAUUUAUGAUUAAGUGAUCCAUUUAUAAUGAUUAAAAGAAAAAAUUACCUUAGGGAUAACAGCGUAAUUUUUUUUUUUAGUUCAAAUAGGAAAAAAAGUUUGCGACCUCGAUGUUGGAUUAA